CCUACGGGGGGCUGCAGUGGGGAAUAUUGGACAAUGGGCGCAAGCCUGAUCCAGCAAUGCCGCGUGGGUGAAGAAGGUCUUCGGAUUGUAAAGCCCUUUCGACGGGGACGAUGAUGACGGUACCCGUAGAAGAAGCCCCGGCUAACUUCGUGCCAGCAGCCGCGGUAAUACGAAGGGGGUUAGCGUUGCUCGGAAUUACUGGGCGUAAAGGGCGCGUAGGCGGCCCUGCAAGUCAGGCGUGAAAUUCCCGGGCUCAACCUGGGGGCUGCGCUUGAGACUGCGGGGCUAGAGGCCGAGAGAGGGUGGUGGAAUUCCCAGUGUAGAGGUGAAAUUCGUAGAUAUUGGGAAGAACACCGGUGGCGAAGGCGGCCACCUGGCUCGGUACUGACGCUGAGGCGCGACAGCGUGGGGAGCAAACAGGAUUAGAUACCCUGGUAGUC
rnacentral:rRNA from 1 species